rnacentral:rRNA from 1 species
UACGAAGGGGGCUAGCGUUGCUCGGAAUCACUGGGCGUAAAGCGCACGUAGGCGGAUCUUUAAGUCGGGGGUGAAAUCCCGGGGCUCAACCCCGGAACUGCCUUCGAUACUGAGGAUCUUGAGUUCGGGAGAGGUGAGUGGAACUGCGAGUGUAGAGGUGAAAUUCGUAGAUAUUCGCAAGAACACCAGUGGCGAAGGCGGCUCACUGGCCCGAUACUGACGCUGAGGUGCGAAAGCGUGGGGAGCAAACAGG